rnacentral:rRNA from 1 species
CCUACGGGAGGCAGCAGUGAGGAAUAUUGGUCAAUGGGCGAGAGCCUGAACCAGCCAAGUCGCGUGAGGGAGUACUGCCCUAUGGGUUGUAAACCUCUUUUGUCGGGGAGCAAAAGCCGGACGUGUCCGGCUGUGAGAGUACCCGAAGAAAAAGCAUCGGCUAACUCCGUGCCAGCAGCCGCGGUAAUACGGAGGAUGCGAGCGUUAUCCGGAUUUAUUGGGGUUAAAGGGUGCGCAGGCGGAUUUUUAAGUCAGCGGUCAAAUCGUGGGGCUCAACCCCAUCCAGCCGUUGAAACUGGGGAUCUAGAGUGUGCGAGAGGUAUGCGGAAUGCGUGGUGUAGCGGUGAAAUGCAUAGAUAUCACGCAGAACCCCGAUUGCGAAGGCAGCAUACCGGUGCACAACUGACGCUCAGGUACGAAAGCGUGGGUAUCGAACAGGAUUAGAUACCCCUGUAGUC